rnacentral:rRNA from 1 species
UUUGAACGCUGGCGGCAUGCCUUACACAUGCAAGUCGAACGGUAACGCGGGGCAACCUGGCGACGAGUGGCGAACGGGUGAGUAAUAUAUCGGAACGUGCCCAGUCGUGGGGGAUAGCCCGGCGAAAGCCGGAUUAAUACCGCAUACGACCUACGGGUGAAAGCGGGGGAUCGCAAGACCUCGCGCUAUUGGAGCAGCCGAUAUCAGAUUAGCUAGUUGGUGGGGUAAAAGCCUACCAAGGCGACGAUCUGUAGCUGGUCUGAGAGGACGAACAGCAACACUGGGACUGAGAAACGGGCGAGACUCCUACGGGAGGCAGCAGUGGGGAAGUUUGGACAAUGGGCGCAAGCGUGAUACAGCCAUGCCGCGUGUGAGAAGAAGGCAUUCGGGUUGUAAACCACUUUUGUCAGGGAAGAAACGGUCUGGUCUAAUAAACCGGACUAAUGACGGUACCUGAAGAAUAAGCACCGGCUAACUACGUGCCAGCAGCCGCGGUAA